GACGAACGCUGGCGGCGUGCUUAACACAUGCAAGUCGAACGCUGAAGCUUGGUGCUUGCACUGGGUGGAUGAGUGGCGAACGGGUGAGUAAUACGUGAGUAACCUGCCCUUGACUCUGGGAUAAGCCUGGGAAACUGGGUCUAAUACUGGAUACGACAUGUCACCGCAUGGUGGUGUGUGGAAAGGGUUUUACUGGUUUUGGAUGGGCUCACGGCCUAUCAGCUUGUUGGUGGGGUAAUGGCUCACCAAGGCGACGACGGGUAGCCGGCCUGAGAGGGUGACCGGCCACACUGGACUGAGACACGGCCCAGACUCCUACGGGAGGCAGCAGUGGGGAAUAUUGCACAAUGGGCGGAAGCCUGAUGCAGCGACGCCGCGUGAGGGAUGACGGCCUUCGGGUUGUAAACCUCUUUCAGCACGGAAGAAGCGAAAGUGACGGUACGUGCAGAAGAAGCGCCGGCUAACUACGUG
rnacentral:rRNA from 1 species